rnacentral:lncRNA from 1 species
CCAAAGGAAAACCAAAGGAAGAACAAAGGAAGAAAAGAAAAACAAAAACCCUAGGUGGAAAAAUUCAAGGGAAAAAAUGUGAAAAUUCAAGGAAACAAGUGACAAAAGGUAAAAUUUCUUGAUUUUGACUUGUAAUCUACCUUUCCCAUGCAUUUCUCCUUGUUUUUCAUGGUUGAAUUUCAUGUUUUAUGGUGAAUUCAUGGCUGGUCGGAAUAGGUAUGGAGAGAGAAUGAUGUUGGAUUGAUUUGAUUCUAAGUUAUGUUAGUGUUUUUAGUUAGUUUACCAUGUCUAGAAACAAAACAACUAGAAAAGAAUUCAUUUUCCCCAUCACCAUCAAUGCCCGAAACCUACCUUGUAUUGAGUGAGGAUGAGUUUGAUUUUUAUUUUAAGAGAAUUUGUUAGAAAAUGAUGAAUUAUGGUGUGGAAAAGUAGUAGGAAAAAUCACAAUGUUAAUGCACCAUUAUUGACCAAAAAUUUUAUGAAGAAAAGUGAAGAUGGUUUUGCCAAAUUUUAGGUUAUUUGACUUGAGUUUGGUGAAUAAAGGUAUUGGAAAAGAAAUGGAGCAAUUUGGAGUUAAAUUGGACGCGUUAGCCAAUUAAUCGGGUGAUAAGAUGAAUUAGGCCAAUAGUGGAUUUAGAUGGUUACCCAUGCAUUUUACAUUCCAUAUCAUGCAUUAGUAGUCUAAAUUAGUUUAAUUUCAAUUUGGUACCAAUGAAGUAAGUUUCUCGAUUUUGUACUGUGUCAAGGUGGUGAAUCCUCCGAUGAGGGCAAGGAAAUUGUACCCGAAGAUCGAUAGUCGGAGUACUUUAGAAAUUCGACUCUCGAAAUAGUGAGUAACCUUAUCAUCAUUUUAAUUAUCUAAAGUAUGUUUUAAUUCGGAUUUGGUGAAAUUUUAUGAAAAUUAGUUAAAUGGUAAAUUUUAGAUUUUAUAAAUUGUUUUGAAACGAAAUAACGACUUUAAAAAUAGAGUAAUUGGAGACCACUGUUAUGUUGUAAACUUAUGAUUUGAAUAAAUGGCUUAUGUUGAUGUAUUGGCAUGACUGGCUGGGAUGUGUUUUGUGAACUGUAUGAAUUGUUCUAUUUUAAACUUGCAAGCUGGAUAGUAUUAUAUUAGCCCUGUCAUACUGUCAAAAUUUUAUUGUAUGGUGGGUUUGGCUUGCUGCAAUGGGCGGGUUUCUAUGGACCAACCUAUUAGAGGGGCACAGUAAACCCCUUUAUUUUUUACCUCGAUUGGAGAGGUGAGUAGGGUAACUCCCGAGGUAUAACUUUUAGAGUUCACUUCACGCCAAACCACCACGUGAGGGGGAACUCGGCCAACGCCAAGAAACGGCUAUAUUUUUAAAAUGAAAACAUGAUUUAUGUGUACAUAACUUUUAAUAGCCUUGGCGGACUCGAUUUGGGAUAGCCCUCGGCCAAGGUAUCCCUGAUAACUGAGUAUGAUAAUGAUUUUGGCAUUAGCCAAGUUUUAAGAUACUCAUAAGCCAUGUUAAUGUUUUUAAAUGAAAUGAAUAUUUAUGUUAUGAAAAACAUAUUUGGAUGAAAUGUUUUAAUAGGCUUCUUUUACUCGACUUUAGAUAUUUUGAGUGAUGUUUGUUUACUCACUGGGAUUUUAUAAUCUCACCACCCUCAUUUCCACCCAUUUCAGGCUCAGAGUAGGCUGUAUAUAGCUGAUUCCAUUGAGGGCUUCCCUUGGAUUUGCGUCCUCCAAACUGUAGGUCUACAGUUUUUCUUACUUUUGGUUAUUCGAGGGCCCAUGUCACGACCCAAAUUUUGGGCCAUGACCGGCGCAUGGGCCCAAUGGACGUAGUCCUCUAAGCCCAAGCAGGCCUAAUAAUCUGACUUGUUCAUCAUUCAUCAUAAACUACUAAGUCAUAUUUCAUAACUUAGAACCAAAAUAACAUUUAACAUUUGCCAUUUCAUACUAGCAUACCAAGCAAGUGUAUAUACAUUGUCUACAACAUUUAUCUUUAUAAUUUACAUUAAACUCUUCUAUACAAAACAAUAAUUUACUCGACUUCCAAUGGAG